rnacentral:rRNA from 1 species
CCUACGGGAGGCAGCAGUGAGGAAUAUUGGUCAAUGGGCGCGAGCCUGAACCAGCCAAGUAGCGUGAAGGAUGACUGCCCUACGGGUCGUAAACUUCUUUUAUAAAGGAAUAAAGUGAGCCACGUGUGCCUUUUUGUAUGUACCUUAUUACUAAGGAUCGGCUAACUCCGUGCCAGCAGCCGCGGUAAUACGGAGGAUCCGAGCGUUAUCCGGAUUUAUUGGGUUUAAAGGGAGCGCAGAUGGGUAGUUAAGUCAGUUGUGAAAGUUUGCGGCUCAACCGUAAAAUUGCAAUUGAUACUGGCAGUCUUGAGUACAGGUGAGGUAAGCGGAAUUCGUGGUGUAGCGGUGAAAUGCUUAGAUAUCACGAAGAACUCCGAUUGCGAAGGCAGCUUACUAAACUGCCACUGACAUUGAUGCUCGAAAGUGUGGGUAUCAAACAGGAUUAGAUACCCUGGUAGUC